AUAUCUCUCUGUACGGGAAGGAUGAGAAGCUUCGACUAAGGUUCGAUUCGAGCGAAAGCGAGAAAGCGUUGCCAACGGCAACGACCCGAAGGGCGAAGCGCGCAGCGCUGAGUCAUCCUUCCCCCACCACCA
rnacentral:sRNA from 20 species